GAAGAAGGCAUCUUCUUGUUUUUAAAGACCUAGCAAUAGGUAUGCUUAGGGAGGAGCUUGCGUCACAUUAGUUAGUUGGUGGGGUAAAGGCCUACCAAGACUAUGAUGUGUAGCCGGGCUGAGAGGUUGAACGGCCACAUUGGGACUGAGACACGGCCCAAACUCCUACGGGAGGCAGCAGUAGGGAAUUUUCGGCAAUGGAGGAAACUCUGACCGAGCAACGCCGCGUGAACGAUGAAGUAUUUCGGUACGUAAAGUUCUUUUAUUAGGGAAGAAUAAAUGAUGGAAAAAUCAUUCUGACGGUACCUAAUGAAUAAGCCCCGGCUAACUAUGUGCCAGCAGCCGCGGUAAUACAUAGGGGGCAAGCGUUAUCCGGAAUUAUUGGGCGUAAAGGGUGCGUAGGCGGUUAAAUAAGUUUAUGGUCUAAGUGCAAUGCUCAACAUUGUGAUGCUAUAAAAACUGUUUAGCUAGAGUAAGAUAGAGGCAAGUGGAAUUCCAUGUGUAGUGGUAAAAUGCGUAAAUAUAUGGAGGAACACCAGUAGCGAAGGCGGCUUGCUGGGUCUUUACUGACGCUGAGGCACGAAAGCGUGGGGAGCAAACAGGAUUAGAUACCCUGGUAGUCCACGCCGUAAACGAUGAGUACUAAACGUUGGGUAAAACCAGUGUUGAAGUUAACACAUUAAGUACUCCGCCUGAGUAGUACGUACGCAAGUAUGAAACUUAAAGGAAUUGACGGGACUCCGCACAAGCGGUGGAUCAUGUUGUUUAAUUCGAAGGUACCCGAAAAACCUCACCAGGUCUUGACAUGCUUCUGCAAGCUGUAGAAACACAGUGAGUAUCAGUUGCACAGGUGGUGCAUGCUGUCGUCAGCUCGUGUCGUGAGAUGUGGUAAGUCCGCACGAGCCAACCUAUGUAGUACAGCACGUAUGGUGGGA
rnacentral:rRNA from 1 species